rnacentral:rRNA from 1 species
AUAGCUGGUCUGAGAGGAUGAUCAGCCAGACUGGAACUGAGACACGGUCCAGACUCCUACGGGAGGCAGCAGUGAGGAAUCUUCCACAAUGGGCGAAAGCCUGAUGGAGCGACACCGCGUGAAGGAUGAAGCCUUUGUUGGUGUAAACUUCUUUUCUCUUGGAAGAUAAUGACGGUACAAGAGGAAUAAGGGGCGGCAAACUUCGUGCCAGCAGCCGCGGUAAUACGAGGGCCCCAAGCGUUAUCCGGAAUUACUGGGCGUAAAGCGUCUGUAGGUGGUUUUUUAAGUUUCGUAUGAAACUCCAGGGCUCAACCCUGGAUUGUGCGAAAAACUGGGGAACUUGAGUGUGGGAGAGGCAAGCAGAACGGUAUGAGUAGGGGUGCAAUCCGUUGAUACAUACCAGAAUACCAAAAGCGAAGGCAGCUUGCUGGAACACUACUGACACUGAGAGACGAAAGCGUGGGGAGCGAAAGGGAUUAGAUACCCCUGUAGUCCACGCCCUAAACGAUGGAUGCUAGGUGUUGGACGUAAGUUCAGUGCUCAAGCUAACGCAUUAAGCAUCCCGCCUGAGGAGUACGGCCGCAAGGUUAAAACUCAAAUGAAUAGACGGGGACCCGCACAAGCAGUGGAUCAUGUGGUUUAAUUCGACAAUAAACGAGGAACCUCACCUAGGCUUGACAUUGAUAGAAUCCACCAGAAAUGGAGGAGUGCCCGCAAGGGAGCUUGAAAACAGGCGCUGCAUGGUUGUCGUCAGCUCGUGCCUUGAGGUGUUCGGUUAAGUCCGUUAACGAGCGCAACCCACGUCGUUAGUUACUAUGUCUAACGAGACUGCUUGAGUUAAUCAAGAGGAAGGUGUGGAUGACGUCAAAUCAGCAUGGCCCUUAUGCCUAGGGCUACACACAUGAUACAAUGGUCGGUACAAACAGUCGCAAUACAGCAAUGUGGAGCCAAUCUGAAAAAGCCGAUCUCAGUCCAGAUUGGGGGCUGCAACUCGCCCCCAUGAAGUUGGAAUUGCUAGUAAUCGUAAAUCAGCUAUGUUACGGUGAAUCUGUUCCCGGGUCUUGUACUCACCGCCCGUCAAACCAUGGGAGGUGUGCGUACCUUAAGCCCUUCGAGCAAUACGGAGGUCCACGGUAAACACACUGACUGGGGUUAAGUCGUAACAAGGUAUCCGUACGUGAACGUGCGGAUG